CAGGAAGUCUCGAUUAAGGGUCUUACUGAGCAUGCGCGAAGUCGAAGUCUUUUCAGCGUCGCGACAGUUGUGGCAGCGGCAGCAUCACAGUGUCGACGUCAUCAUGUCGUGACCCCGGAGCUCCUCCCAGCUUGGCACGCGUGUACUGCAGUUAUGGAGUGAUUUAGGCAAAGCUGUGCGGCCCAGUGACGACGACGAUGAUGAUGAUGGUGUUAAAAUGAAGAAUCCACAGUUUCAGUCAAACGUAGGUUUGUGUUUUUUUUUUGUUUUUAAUCCAUUAACUGAUCCCUGACUGGUCCAAAAAUAAAAA